GAAUUUGGUUUUGAAUUUUGUAAGAGAACACAAUCAACCUUGGUUGUCCGUGAAAGAUAUCCUUCACCUGACCAAGUGGUUGAAAGGGAAUACAAAAUUUUGAAUCUUUUGGAUUUCACAAGCAAGAGAAAGAGAAUGUCUGUAAUUAUUAGGGACGAGGAGGGCCAGAUUAUUCUUCUCUGCAAAGGUGCUGAUAGCAUCAUCUUCGACCGACUAUCAAAGAAUGGAAGAACAUAUGAGGAAGCAACCACAAGGCAUUUGAAUGAAUAUGGAGAAGCAGGGCUGCGAACUCUGGCACUUGCUUAUAGGAGGCUUGAGGAGGCUGAAUAUAAUGCUUGGAACAACGAGUUUCAGAAGGCG
rnacentral:misc_RNA from 1 species